AAUAACGUCGAGAAAUCGGCGCUAAUACCUCAUAAUGCAGCGGAUCCGCAUGGAUAUGUUGUUAAAGGUUACCGCCUUGGGAUAGGUCUUGCGUCUGAUUAGCUAGUUGGUGUGGUAAUGGCACACCAAGGCUACGAUCAGUAACUGGUCUGAGAGGAUGAUCAGUCACACUGGAACUGAGACACGGUCCAGACUCCUACGGGAGGCAGCAGUGAGGAAUAUUGGGCAAUGCACGAAAGUGUGACCCAGCAACGCCGCGUGGAGGAUGAAGGUAUUCUAUAUCGUAAACUCCUGUGAGAGCAGACGAAAGACAGAUUAUUAAUUUGGAUGACUGUAUGCUCAGAGGAAGCCCCGGCUAACUACGUG
rnacentral:rRNA from 1 species